GUGAGGAAUAUUGCGCAAUGGGCGAAAGCCUGACGCAGCGACGCCGCGUGGAGGAUGAAGGUCUUCGGAUUGUAAACUUCUGUUAAGUGGGAAGAAAGGGCUGCUUUUAAUAGAAGCAGUUAAUGACGGUACCAUUAAAGAAAGCACCGGCUAAACUCGUGCCAGCAGCCGCGGUAAUACGAGUGGUGCAAGCGUUAUUCGGAAUAAUUGGGCGUACAGGGUGUGUAGGCGGUAUGUUAAGUCUGUUGUUAAAGACUCCGGCCUAACCGGAGACAGGCAGCGGAAACUGGCGUACUAGAGGGUGGAAGAGAGAAGUGGAAUUCUCGGUGUAGCGGUAAAAUGCGUAGAUAUCGAGAGGAACACCGAUGGCGAAGGCAGCUUCUUGGUCCAUACCUGACGCUGAAACACGAAAGCGUGGGGAGCAAACAGGAUUAGAAACCCCAGUAGUCC
rnacentral:rRNA from 1 species